UGAGUGAGUGGCGGACGGGUGAGUAACACGUGGGUAACCUGCCCUAAAGUGGGGGAUAACAUUUGGAAACAGAUGCUAAUACCGCAUAAAACCUAACACCGCAUGGUGUAGGGUUGAAAGAUGGUUUCGGCUAUCACUUUAGGAUGGACCCGCGGUGCAUUAGUUAGUUGGUGAGGUAAAGGCUCACCAAGACCGUGAUGCAUAGCCGACCUGAGAGGGUAAUCGGCCACACUGGGACUGAGACACGGCCCAGACUCCUACGGGAGGCAGCAGUAGGGAAUCUUCCACAAUGGACGAAAGUCUGAUGGAGCAACGCCGCGUGAGUGAAGAAGGUUUUCGGAUCGUAAAACUCUGUUGUUGGAGAAGAAUGUAUCUGAUAGUAACUGAUCAGGUAGUGACGGUAUCCAACC
rnacentral:rRNA from 1 species